CCAACAGUUCACAAUGACUAAUUGCAUAUGAGUGACUGAUGGCCAUAGGGAAAAACAGUUGAAGGUCACUGUGUUGUCUUCCAACAGAAAAGAGCUGCGAUGAUCUGAUGUAUUUUCCAGUUUUGACACAGUCAGAUAAACUGUGGAGUUCACGAUCAUUAUAGCAUAAACUCAGCCACAGUAAGUCCCAUUCUUCAGCUCAUUAUACUGAACACUCAAUAGAAAAAAUGGAUUUCUGCUGCAUGACUACUGAGUUAAAAGAGAUAUACAGAGACCAAGCUGGAGUACCUCUUAUAUUUGAAUGUGCACUGAGAAGACCUAACACAGAAAAUCAAAUUUCUUUGGUGAUCUACACUGGUAUUUAUAUCCCACCCUUCUCACCCUAAAGGGGACUCAGAAUGGCUUACAGAACACACAUACCGCAAACAUUCAAUGCCGAUUAUACAAUUAACAAGGACAGACAACACAAACAGAGAUUGAUGGCUGAAAGAGAGAUGCCUGCCACGUGAAUCGUAUCAUUUCAAGUUUCAGGUAGCCAUGCUGUUAGUUGUAGCUUUUGAACUAAACUAGGUCUGUUGAUGAAUUCUAAUGAGCUGCCUACAGCAACACAGUAUACUAGAGAGAAAGUCUUCACUGUUGGAGGUGACAAGCCAACCACUGACAUCAAGAUGCCCUGAUGUGACAAGGAUACAGAAAAAUGUUUUGAGUAUUCAAAAUGCUGCCUACACAAAUACUCCUUAAUCAACUUCUGUAGAAAUACUUUUAAAUGAGGCUGAAAAUGGAUUGAUUUUAAAAUUAAAGUGUUGAAAUUAUUACAGUUGGGGUGGAAAUAAUGUGGUUCCCUCAUAUGAUGUUGGCCAUCCCAUCAUCCUUCAUGAAUACAGGAAAUACAAGGCUGGAAACAAGAUGUGGAAAGCCCAGUCUGCUUUGGUUGACAGUAGUUAAUGUUUUCUGGUGUGAAAAUUGCUUAUAGUUUAACUUGGAUGGAUUCAGUAAUGCAUGGGUUAAAAUUACAGAGAUGCGCAGAAUUGGUAGAGUGUCACUUUUGGAGUUUCUUUUGCACACCAGAAAGGAGCUCUGAGGUGUGGAACAUGCUCCAUACAGUGUGCCAAGAAGUGAAUGGACAUGAUUGGAGAUUGUCUUGUAUAUUUUGUAAAUAAAAGAUAAAGUGCCGCUUUCGUUGAAAGCUGAAUUAAGGAGUCCAGUGUUUUUACCACUUCUUGCCUUCAAGUAGGACUUGGAAGGUCAAAGCAGCUGAGAAAAGGAAGGUGAUUUAUCUCAAUUUCCUUAACAUUGGGUA